rnacentral:tRNA from 1 species
AGGGUUGUGGCUCAGCGGUAGAGCUCUUGCCUAGCAGGAGGUACUGGGUUUGAUCCCCAGCAUCACAU